rfam:Kazachstania africana CBS 2517 chromosome 1, complete genome
UCAUCGGAUUCUUUAGAAUCCAUUGACUUUUCCAAAUGUAUCUUUU